rnacentral:rRNA from 1 species
AUUGAACGCUGGCGGCAUGCCUUACACAUGCAAGUCGAACGGUAACGCGGGGCAACCUGGCGACGAGUGGCGAACGGGUGAGUAAUGCAUCGGAACGUGCCUGGUAGCGGGGGAUAACUGCUCGAAAGAGCAGCUAAUACCGCAUACGACCUGAGGGUGAAAGGGGGGGAUCGCAAGACCUCUCGCUAUCAGAGCGGCCGGUGUCGGAUUAGCUAGUUGGUGGGGUAAAGGCCAACCAAGGCGACGAUCCGUAGCUGGUCUGAGAGGACGACCAGCCACACUGGGACUGAGACACGGCCCAGACUCCUACGGGAGGCAGCAGUGGGGAAUUUUGGACAAUGGACGCAAGUCUGAUCCAGCCAUGCCGCGUGCGGGAAGAAGGCCUUCGGGUUGUAAACCGCUUUUGUCAGGGAAGAAAUCUUCUGGACUAAUACUCUGGGAGGAUGACGGUACCUGAAGAAUAAGCACCGGCUAACUACGUGCCAGCAGCCGCGGUAAUAC